AUACCUACGGGGCGCAGCAGUGGGGAAUAUUGCACAAUGGGGGAAACCCUGAUGCAGCGACGCCGCGUGAGUGAAGAAGUAAUUCGUUAUGUAAAGCUCUAUCAGCAGGGAAGAAAAUGACGGUACCUGAGUAAGAAGCCCCGGCUAACUACGUGCCAGCAGCCGCGGUAAUACGUAGGGGGCAAGCGUUAUCCGGAUUUACUGGGUGUAAAGGGAGCGUAGACGGCAGUGCAAGUCUGGGGUGAAAGGCGGGGGCUCAAC
rnacentral:rRNA from 1 species